CGGGGGGGGGGGGCAAGCGUUGUUCGGAAUUACUGGGCGUAAAGGGCGCGUAGGCGGGUCCCGCAAGUCCUCCGUGAAAUCCCACAGCUCAACUGUGGAACUGCGAGGGAAACUGCAGGACUUGAGUCCGGGAGAGGAGAGUGGAAUUCCCAGUGUAGCGGUGAAAUGCGUAGAUAUUGGGAGGAACACCGGUGGCGAAGGCGGCUCUCUGGACCGGUACUGACGCUGAGGCGCGAAAGCUAGGGGAGCAAACGGGAUUAGAUACCCCGGUAGUCCUAGCCUUAAACGAUGAGCACUUGGUGUGGCGGGUAUCGACCCCUGCCGUGCCGAAGCUAACGCAUUAAGUGCUCCGCCUGGGGAGUACGGUCGCAAAGGCUG
rnacentral:rRNA from 1 species